rnacentral:rRNA from 1 species
AGUGAACGCUGGCGGUAGGCCUAACACAUGCAAGUCGAACGGCAGCACAGUAAGGGCUUGCUCUUACGGGUGGCGAGUGGCGGACGGGUGAGGCAUACAUCGGAAUCUACUUUUUCGUGGGGGAUAACGUAGGGAAACUUACGCUAAUACCGCAUACGACCUACGGGUGAAAGCAGGGGAUCUUCGGACCUUGCGCGAUUGAAUGAGCCGAUGUCGGAUUAGCUAGUUGGCGGGGUAAAGGCCCACCAAGGCGACGAUCCGUAGCUGGUCUGAGAGGAUGAUCAGCCACACUGGAACUGAGACACGGUCCAGACUCCUACGGGAGGCAGCAGUGGGGAAUAUUGGACAAUGGGCGCAAGCCUGAUCCAGCCAUACCGCGUGGGUGAAGAAGGCCUUCGGGUUGUAAAGCCCUUUUGUUGGGAAAGAAAAGCAGCAGGUUAAUACCCCGCUGUUCUGACGGUACCCAAAGAAUAAGCACCGGCUAACUUCGUG